rnacentral:rRNA from 1 species
GCCUACACAUGCAAGUCGAACGGUAACAGGAAGCAGCUUGCUGCUUCGCUGACGAGUGGCGGACGGGUGAGUAAUGUCUGGGAAACUGCCUGAUGGAGGGGGAUAACUACUGGAAACGGUAGCUAAUACCGCAUAACGUCGCAAGACCAAAGAGGGGGACCUUCGGGCCUCUUGCCAUCGGAUGUGCCCAGAUGGGAUUAGCUAGUAGGUGGGGUAACGGCUCACCUAGGCGACGAUCCCUAGCUGGUCUGAGAGGAUGACCAGCCACACUGGAACUGAGACACGGUCCAGACUCCUACGGGAGGCAGCAGUGGGGAAUAUUGCACAAUGGGCGCAAGCCUGAUGCAGCCAUGCCGCGUGUAUGAAGAAGGCCUUCGGGUUGUAAAGUACUUUCAGCGGGGAGGAAGGCGAUAAGGUUAAUAACCUUGUCGAUUGACGUUACCCGCAGAAAAAGCACCGGCUAACUCCGUGCAGCAGCCGCGGUAAUACGGAGGGUGCAAGCGUUUAUCGGAAUUACUGGGCGUAA